AAGGAUGUAAGCUCGAGGCCGAGC
rnacentral:miRNA from 1 species